rnacentral:rRNA from 1 species
UGAACGCUGGCGGCAUGCCUUACACAUGCAAGUCGAACGGCAGCACGGGUGCUUGCACCUGGUGGCGAGUGGCGAACGGGUGAGUAAUACAUCGGAACAUGUCCUGUAGUGGGGGAUAGCCCGGCGAAAGCCGGAUUAAUACCGCAUACGAUCUACGGAUGAAAGCGGGGGACCUUCGGGCCUCGCGCUAUAGGGUUGGCCGAUGGCUGAUUAGCUAGUUGGUGGGGUAAAGGCCUACCAAGGCGACGAUCAGUAGCUGGUCUGAGAGGACGACCAGCCACACUGGGACUGAGACACGGCCCAGACUCCUACGGGAGGCAGCAGUGGGGAAUUUUGGACAAUGGGCGAAAGCCUGAUCCAGCAAUGCCGCGUGUGUGAAGAAGGCCUUCGGGUUGUAAAGCACUUUUGUCCGGAAAGAAAUCCUUGGCUCUAAUACAGUCGGGGGAUGACGGUACCGGAAGAAUAAGCACCGGCUAACUACGUGCCAGCAGCCGCGGUAAUACGUAGGGUGCGAGCGUUAAUCGGAAUUACUGGGCGUAAAGCGUGCGCAGGCGGUUUGCUAAGACCGAUGUGAAAUCCCCGGGGCUCAACCUGGGAACUGCAUUGGUGACUGGCAGGCUAGAGUAUGGCAGAGGGGGGUAGAAUUCCACGUGUAGCAGUGAAAUGCGUAGAGAUGUGGAGGAAUACCGAUGGCGAAGGCAGCCCCCUGGGCCAAUACUGACGCUCAUGCACGAAAGCGUGGGGAGCAAACAGGAUUAGAUACCCCUGGUAGUCCACGCCCUAAACGAUGUCAACUAGUUGUUGGGGAUUCAUUUCCUUAGUAACGUAGCUAACGCGUGAAGUUGACCGCCUGGGGAGUACGGUCGCAAGAUUAAAACUCAAAGGAAUUGACGGGGACCCGCACAAGCGGUGGAUGAUGUGGAUUAAUUCGAUGCAACGCGAAAAACCUUACCUACCCUUGACAUGGUCGGAAUCCCGCUGAGAGGUGGGAGUGCUCGAAAGAGAACCGGCGCACAGGUGCUGCAUGGCUGUCGUCAGCUCGUGUCGUGAGAUGUUGGGUUAAGUCCCGCAACGAGCGCAACCCUUGUCCUUAGUUGCUACGCAAGAGCACUCUAAGGAGACUGCCGGUGACAAACCGGAGGAAGGUGGGGAUGACGUCAAGUCCUCAUGGCCCUUAUGGGUAGGGCUUCACACGUCAUACAAUGGUCGGAACAGAGGGUUGCCAACCCGCGAGGGGGAGCUAAUCCCAGAAAACCGAUCGUAGUCCGGAUUGCACUCUGCAACUCGAGUGCAUGAAGCUGGAAUCGCUAGUAAUCGCGGAUCAGCAUGCCGCGGUGAAUACGUUCCCGGGUCUUGUACACACCGCC